CGCUAGACGCAGCGGGGAAAGUCACCAUUUUCACCGGAACAGCCUGCAACAGAUAUAGCCGGCCUUCUAAAAUCCAAGAAUGAGGAAUGCCUGAAACAAGGAACAACUCGGCAGUGUAUGUGAACGUGUUUACCUGUGUGUGUAUGAGUGUGCAUGUGAGGGUAUGCGUGUGAGUAUGUAUGUGUGUGGGAGUGUAUGAGUGGUGGGUGUGUAUGAGUGGUGGGUGUGUGUGUGUGUACAACUUGUGCUCUGAUUGUGCACCAGUUUGCUCAUGGUUAUGUGUUAGCCUGUACACUUUUUGUUUUGUUUUAGGUGGGUGAAUAUUUAUAUAUGUAUGGGUGUGUGCUGUAAUGUAUGUGUUUGUGUGUAAAUCCGUUGAGUUCAUAUCAGAUGAGGGCAACACCAUGCCAGUUUGAUCAUGGUUAUGCGUUUAAAUGUAUGUGACUACACCUGUAUGUAUGCUUAUAUUAGCCUGUAUGCUUUUUGUUUCGUUUUGGUGGGUGAAUAUGUGUAUUGGUGGGUUGUUUUGUUGCUGGUUGUCUUUAAACAGUAAACUUGUUUAAAAUA